AAUCUUGGAAGCCACCACCCUGGAGGGCGGAGCAAGGACCAGUGAGAAACCAAUCAGGACUCAGGCUCUAGGAAGCUCUGAGCAGCGACGAAUCAGAAUGCAGCAGCGUUGGUCUCAAGUGGCGCGCGUGAAUUUGAACGCACUGGCAGAGCGCCGUGCGCUUGUGAGGAGAGUUGCGACCUUGCUGAGGUGCGGAGAGUCCUUAGCCCGAGUGGACGCCGAGCCAGCGGGAGGCUGAGGAGCGCAGGAAUUCAGUUAAGAUGAUGGCAACUUUUACGCCAAGGAAGAGGAAACGAUACACCCUGAAUGAUGAUAAUGGUGAUAGCCUAUUAACAGAUACUUCAUCAAGAAAAUUAAAUUUAAACUCUUCUGAAAAUCUCUUUCCAUCACCUAAUAAAAAACAUACUUGUCAAAGCAGUGAACAAAAGGAAGGAAAGUCUUGCUCCUACCAAGACGAUUUC